GUAACACGUGAGCAAUCUGCCCCGAACUCUGGGAUAAGCGUUGGAAACGACGUCUAAUACCGGAUACGACGCGCGAAGGCAUCUUCAGCGCGUGGAAAGAACUUCGGUUCGGGAUGAGCUCGCGGCCUAUCAGCUUGUUGGCGGGGUAAUGGCCCACCAAGGCAACGACGGGUAGCUGGUCUGAGAGGAUGGUCAGCCACACUGGGACUGAGACACGGCCCAGACUCC
rnacentral:rRNA from 1 species